CUGGAGUCUCAUCACAAGGAGGAUCACAGUUGGUGUCACAGGUCAAAUGACAGCAGUGUGCCAAAACCAGAAAGCAGUAGAUUACCACCAGCAGCAGACCACCGAGAGCACUUUUCUGCCUGACCCUCAGUAACCCUGUACGCCGAGCGUGCAUUAACCUGGUAGAGUGGAGGUGUUCUCAAAUCAGCGUUAUAUAAAAUCUGAAAGCACAUUUUACUUUGGUGACCUUACUGAUCUGGAAGGAAGUUAAUGGUUUAAAAGCAAGAAAGUCCUUUUGAAGCUGUGUGUGUGUCAUUUGUUGGGUGUGUUAAAAUAUUGUUUCAUAUGCACAGUCAGCUUUUAAUAGUUUUUGAUGGUGUUCCUGGAAAGUGUAAACAUAGGGUUUACAGUGUUCAGUGGGUUUUUGCCCCAUUUCCUUCCAAGGCUUUAUUAACCAUAAUGACCAUAGAUGCAGAGCAUUUUUUUGAGGGGGGUCUGUAUUAAACCAUUGUACAUUGUAGUUCCCUCUUUCUUUAUUAAUGAUGUUUGGAUUUCAUUGACUGAGACCUUGUGCCAUGAUGAGCUCACGGAAGAUGGGGAAAUGUUUAAGAAACAUCUCAGUAAUUUAGUAGCGAUUUUGUAGUUUGAUGCAAAAACCUGAAAACAUAAUAAACCAAUUGAUUAUGUUGAAAA